ACUCAUACAUCUCACUAAUAUUUUGCUCACAAUCAUCUCACUUCAUAUGAAUGACUCAUUCAUAACGUGGUUACUCUCUCUCUUACAUUUUCCAAAAUGCCAAAACACAAAGAGAGAAACCUUCAACCAAAACGCCAAAAACUUCCCCUCCAUCGCGUAGCAAACCUGUCAAAAUUCGCAUCGGCUGGGCCUUUCCUCAGGCCAGGUUGUCUGUCGUUCGACCGUCGUCGACGUCGUUCUCGCGUGUUUACCAUUUUGGCGUUGGUUUCGUAACAACUGGAGGUUCUGACGACGGCUGGCUCCAGCAUCUAACUAGAAGAGAAAAAAAGCUGGCAGAGCUCGGUAAUCGCGUCGUGUCUGGAACUAACGGUACCGUGUGUAAAUGUUCCCAGCGCUCGUCCACCCCGAGGCUGCCAUUCACUACUCAGGGUCAAAAUUUAAAGGGUCCAUUGAAUGUGCUGUGAUUGUGCUAUUGAAGGGCACGGCGCGUGUGUUUCAGCAGUGAUUUAGUGGCGUCGUAGAAAGUGCUGCAUUGAGGUAGUCUCCGAAGAAAACAGCAAAAGCUUAGUCCACGACGCUUUGAGAGUAUUGAUUGAUGGAUUUUUUCACUGUGAUAGUGCCGCAGUUAGUGAACUCUAGCGCCAUCAAAUAGUGCAGUAGUGCUUAUCUGCAUACUAGGUAUUUUACUCGUAACAGUGAGUGGUGUGGAGAAUCACAACCCAUCAGGCAGUGUGGUGCGAGAGGCUGUAAUACUACUACGUUGCGUAUCACACUUACAUCAGUAGAAAUUGUAGUGACACCGUGAGGCCUACAACACCACAAUUAAAAAAAAACAGGAUCUCCACCAAAGAAACCUCCGAGACAAGGUGGUGAAUGGACGGACGUACGCGAUACGCAUACACUGCCCUAUCCUACAUCAACAGCAUUAUCAUCGUCAGGAACACCAACAUCCAGCUCUAAACAGCACAACAAUCUCGUGCGAGACUUCGGCGCAAGGAAACGCGCAGCGACGACGACGAAGACGGUCAUCCGACGACACAUCACGAACAUAAUCAGCGAGAGGAGGACCGUUAGAGUGCAACGUUACUGUUACUGUUGUGCGACUUCGGAUAGUUUUCCUAAUUAAAUUUGACGUCAAUAUAAACAUAUAUUCACACACGAGCGGAAACAUGAACUCGAAGCCCCCGUCGAUGAAUGGAGUGGCAGCGGCGGCGGCGGGUGCCCAACCGUUGAUCCAGUACAACAUCGAUUGGAUCUUUCCCAAGCUGCGAAAACCGUCGCGGCUGUGGCACAUUGCUAGCACCGGAGUCAUCGGGCUGGUGGGAUUCUUCUCCAAGAUCGUGAUCGGUAAGUGGCCAAGGUCAAUCCCUUUUUUGUCUUCUGCCGAGGGGCUUAUAUAAGGGGGAGGGUGGAUGUGUAGCGCACUUUACCCGAGUUGAGGUGAAUAACAGUAGAAUGUUUAGCAACUUUUACCAGUGAAGUGAAAUAGAAGAAUAGAAAAACAAAACUAGUGAAAUA